GGACAGUUUGAGCUUGACCUGUAUCGAACAGCACUGGCCCAUUGAGAGCAUUGCAACAGGAUAACGGAAUCCAAAACAAAGUUAAUCUGAUCAACAGGGAUCAAUAGAAAAGUCCACAAGCUGAGGGACAUCUCAGCAGGACUCUGCACCCACGCGAGCUGGCUUCCUCUGGCAGAAACACCAGCCAGUUCUUCAGCCUCCAUCUACUUGGUGCCUUUACCUGAAAAACUGGUAGUGGACUGGGCUGCAGAGGACCCUUCUGUGAAAUUUUGGAACUGAGGAAUGCUUAAGACAACAUAGGACUUGUCCACCACCCUGAGUCACAGGUAGUUGGUUCAUCAGAUGGGUGACACACAGCAGCAGGGCAGGGACUUGCCAGCCAGGAUUCUGUUGCACCAUUUCCAGGAUCUAGAAGUGGCAAAGGGGCCACUUGAGAGUUCAGGACACUUGACAUUAUUUGGUGAUGAUUCAAGUCCAGGAAUGUAAAUCCAGUCUUGUUCCAGAAGCCAGGGUCUUAUUUGCCUGGGGACCACCAGACAGGACCUGGAGUUUGGUGGCAGGUCCGAGGUCAAGAAGGGAAGUCAGUCUGUGGAUCUGAGCCCAGUCCAGCAGACUGCACAGCUGGGCAUGGCUGUGACAGGCCUGAGACUGGCACACUCACAGCACAGCUCUGUGAAGCAAUGGCCCCAGGCUGAGCGGGAGCAGAGCCCGGUGUGUGUGGGCACCCACGCAGGGCUGUGAGCCCAAAACCUACACGUGCCCUUAAGGCCUUGAUCAGCCCAUGGCAUGGAGACUGACCAGUAUUCAGAGAGCAGCACUAGGAGGUGGAUCUUAGCUGGAAGGGGCAGUAUCAGACAGAAGGAAGGAUGCAAAGAAAGUCCCUCUGGCUCAUGCUGAGGCAGCCAACCAGGAUGGACAGAGGAAAGCACAAUGGGCUCGCAUUUGGAUGAAGCUGAUGGCAGUGCUUUUAUGGAUAGCAGGAGGAUGAUGUUUUCACUCUCUCUAUUUCUGCCUACUGCACAGGCUUGAGAAAAUGCACCCUGCAGUAGGCCACCUACUGUCAGUCACCUUUAAUUUGUUUAAGGUAAAAGAAGGUCUUAUAAAUCUUCUCCUGAUUUCUUCUAUCCCAUCUCCUGAUUCCUUUCCUAUUCAGCUAGAGUCUAUUUGGCAAUGAAAAUAUUAAUGUUAAAUAUUUAUGUUAAUAUGUCCAGUUCCAUAUAUCUUACAGAAGGAACUGAGGAUUGAUUGCUUGUUCUCUUUGUCUUGAUCUUUCACUUGAUUUUGUCUUUCCUGUUCUUGUAAUGUGAGUGAAAAUUCAAAUUUUGAACCUUGGGUUAAAGAGUUUGUCUUGACCUUAUGCCAAACCUGCUGACUUUUUUACUCUGUGUUAUUGUUCCUAGCUUCUAGGAAGGAAUAAAUGGGUAAAAUCAGCCUUAUUGUGGAUUAGCAACUCUAAUCAUGGUGACUGCAGUCAUUAUGAGGACCAUUUAAAAUGUAUUUAUUCUGCAAGUUGUCUUUGGGGUUUUCUGUCUACCUGCAAGAAAAAAUACUGUCCUCCAGCCUACUUACCUCUAGGAACUCAGGGACCCUCAACCAUCAAAGCUGUCACAGAAGAUUGGUUAAUGGCAUUAUGGGGAGAGGCAGGAUGCCAGAGUGUUGUUCUUAUCUUCAAAUAACAUCUCCCUGAAUAAGGUCCUCUUUGUUUUGGGAGCCAUGGGUGUGUUUUGUAUGCACUGUUCAUUUAUUUUUUCAGUUACGUGUUCAGAGAUAACACAGGUUGAACUAAUUGUCUAAAUAAGAUUUGGAAUUUAACAAAUUACAGUGUUCAAUAACAUAAUUUUCUUUGACAAAAACAACACAGGUAGUGCUCUCCUACUUUGACAGCUCUGGGAGCUAGAGUUGAUUCAGAAGUGCAAGAAUGAGAUUCUAAAAGCGUAAGGAAAUAAGAAAUGUUAUUUAUCACUGUUUCAGUGUCACCAACUUGUUAUUUUUAUUGUUCUUCAGAAUAAUGGGAUUUAUUGAAGCAGUUUAUCCUCACAUCACGUAAUACACGUUGUGCUUGAAGAACGAGGAGGAUUCAAAAUAGCAAAACAUAAAAAAAGCACUUUAAAUGUAACAGAAAUCCACAGCAACACUACACUUUAAAACCUACCCUGUUUCUAUCUGGAACAAGCAGAAAACAAGUACAUGUGGAAAAGAAUAGUUCAGUUAUUAAAACCACACAAAUGGAGAUAUUUGCAUAGUUACUGCCAUGCUCAAAUGAAAGAAGAUAAUUGUGUGUAUGAAAGGUUUUCAACAGCUGUCUUUGAAAUCAAAUAAAGAAUUAGAUAAACAUGCUGGCUGUUUUGCAUCUGGGAUACAUACACCAACACUCAAUAUUCACAAAUCACUAAGUGGUUGUUGGACACCUGAAAUUCUAUUGAUUGCUAAAGCUCAAUAAUGUCUCAGAGACUUGAUCAAAAGAUCAGGCAAGCAAGCAAGUAAUUAUAUAGUAUUGUGAGUCUUAGCGUAUACAAAAUACACUGCAAAGAGCAAACAUUCUGACUAGAUAAAUAACCUCAGUUUGGUAUGGCAGCAGCUAUAACAGGAAACCUUUCAAAUGUUGAUUACAUAAAAUUAAGGACGAUACAGUGAAAAAGAGUACUGUAAAUCAGACAGCAGGGAAUUUCAAGGAUCACAAAUCCUUGCCUAAUAUAAAUUACAGCAAUAAAUUCUAGCAUGGAUUGUUUCUUUUAUAACAGUGGUUACCAAGAAAAUAGGAAUUGUGAGCUAAAAUUCCAGGGCAUUUAAAUCAUGAUAGUCCCUAGAAGUUUAAUUGCUUUAUUUUGCUUCCAGCUUGCUAAAAAGUGAACACAAGUAAUAGAUAUAAAAAAUAGAUAUAAAACUGUUUGAUUGUAUAAAUUAAUAUUUGUUUCCUUAGAUUCUAUGUUAAGUCAACAAAUAACUUCCUUAUUGUAGUUAUUAUGGUGACUGGAAAUAAAUUGUUAGCCUUAUUCCUUCUCAUAGAUUUUUAGCACGACCCUAUCGACAUACAUUCAUGUUUUGAGAAUUCCACUGAAAACUGUGGAAAGAUACCAGUGCAAAACUGGCUCAAGAGUCAGUCUUAGGGCUUGGCAGAGGUUGUUGACCCCUGGAUCUUGUCAUUAUUACAAAACACUCAAAACACCA